rnacentral:lncRNA from 1 species
AUUUUUUUUUUUUUAUAGAAUACAAGGAGUAAUAAAAUACACUUUAAAUCUGAAAACUUGUUUAUUAAUCAUUAAUUUUCUGAAAUGAAAAAGGAAAACAAUAGUUAUUCUGAGCAAUCGACACAUAAUAAACCAUGGUGAUCUAUACACAUGAAUUUUUUACAUUGAGUACAACAGAACCUUGUCAUUCAACAUUUUUUUAUAAUCACAGAAGACAAAAAUAUUUUUCUGAGAUCCACAGGGUUGUGUUUGAUCAGCGGAAGAAGUUUCUCCAAGAACUUUUGCAAUUUUCCUUUUUAGGCAUCGGGUCAAACUUCACAUUUCACAGUGCUGGCAUAACCAUGCGUCAGACAGCUUCCCUGAUAUUUCUUUUACAAAUGAUUGACGAGAUAUGGGUUUU